rnacentral:rRNA from 1 species
UAGAGGAAACUUUUGGUGAGGCACCUUCUGAGUCCCUUGGAACAGGGCGCCAUAGAGGGUGAGAGCCCCGUAUAGUCGGAUGCCGAUCCAAUGUAAAGUUCCUUCGACGAGUCGAGUAGUUUGGGAAUGCUGCUCAAAAUGGGAGGUAAAUUUCUUCUAAAGCUAAAUAUAGGCCAGAGACCGAUAGCGCACAAGUAGAGUGAUCGAAAGAUGAAAAGCACUUUGAAAAGAGGGUUAAAUAGCACGUGAAAUUGUUGAAAGGGAAGCGUUUGUGACCAGACUUGCGCCGUUCCGAUCAUCCGGUGUUCUCACCGGUGCACUCGGGGCGGCUCAGGCCAGCAUCGGUUUUGGUGGGGGGAUAAAGGUCCAGGGAACGUAGCUCCUCCGGGAGUGUUAUAGCCCUGGGCGUAAUGCCCUCGCUGGGACCGAGGUUCGCGCAUCUGCAAGGAUGCUGGCGUAAUGGUCAUCAACGACCCGUCUUGAAACACGGACCAAGGAGUCAAGGUUUUGCGCGAGUGUUUGGGUGUAAAACCCGCACGCGUAAUGAAAGUGAACGUAGGUGAGAGCUUCGGCGCAUCAUCGACCGAUCCUGAUGUAUUCGGAUGGAUUUGAGUAAGAGCGUUAAGCCUUGGACCCGAAAGAUGGUGAACUAUGCUUGGAUAGGGUGAAGCCAGAGGAAACUCUGGUGGAGGCUCGCAGCGGUUCUGACGUGCAAAUCGAUCGUCAAAUCUGAGCAUGGGGGCGAAAGACUAAUCGAACCAUCUAGUAGCUGGUUACCGCCGAAGUUUCCCUCAGGAUAGCAGUGUUGUUCUUCAGUUUUAUGAGGUAAAGCGAAUGAUUAGGGACUCGGGGGCGCUUUUUAGCCUUCAUCCAUUCUCAAACUUUAAAUAUGUAAGAAGCUCUUGUUACUUAAUUGAACGUGAGCAUUCGAAUGUACCAACACUAGUGGGCCAUUUUUGGUAAGCAGAACUGGCGAUGCGGGAUGAACCGAACGCGGGGUUAAGGUGCCGGAGUGGACGCUCAUCAGACACCACAAAAGGCGUUAGUACAUCUUGACAGCAGGACGGUGGCCAUGGAAGUCGGAAUCCGCUAAGGACUGUGUAACAACUCACCUGCCGAAUGUACUAGCCCUGAAAAUGGAUGGCGCUCAAGCGUCCCUCCCAUACCCCGCCCUCAGGGUAGAAACGAUGCCCUGAGGAGUAG